UGGGGAAUUUUGGACAAUGGGGGAAACCCUGAUCCAGCCAUCCCGCGUGUGCGAUGAAGGCCUUCGGGUUGUAAAGCACUUUUGGCAGGAAAGAAACGUCAUGGGUUAAUACCCCGUGAAACUGACGGUACCUGCAGAAUAAGCACCGGCUAACUACGUGCCAGCAGCCGCGGUAAUACGUAGGGUGCAAGCGUUAAUCGGAAUUACUGGGCGUAAAGCGUGCGCAGGCGGUUCGGAAAGAAAGAUGUGAAAUCCCAGAGCUCAACUUUGGAACUGCAUUUUUAACUGCCGGGCUAGAGUGUGGCAGAGGGAGGUGGAAUUCCGCGUGUAGCAGUGAAAUGCGUGGAUAUGCGGAGGAACACCGAUGGCGAAGGCAGCCUCCUGGGAUAACACUGACGCUCAUGCACGAAAGCGUGGGGAGCAAACAGG
rnacentral:rRNA from 1 species